GACGAACGCUGGCGGCGUGCCUAAUACAUGCAAGUCGAGCGCAGGAAGCCGUCUGAACCCUUCGGGGGGACGACGGUGGAAUGAGCGGCGGACGGGUGAGUAACACGUAAAGAACCUGCCCAUAGGUCUGGGAUAACCACGACAAAUCGGGGCUAAUACCGGAUGUGUCAUCGGACCGCAUGGUCCGCUGAUGAAAGGCGCUCCGGCGUCGCCCAUGGAUGGCUUUGCGGUGCAUUAGCUAGUUGGUGGGGUAACGGCCCACCAAGGCGACGAUUGAUAGCCGACCUGAGAGGGGGAUCGGCCACACUGGGACUGAGACACGGCCCAGACUCCUACGGGAGGCAGCAGUAGGGAAUCUUCCACAAUGGACGAAAGUCUGAUGGAGCAACGCCGCGUGAACGAUGAAGGCUUUCGGGUCGUAAAGUUCUGUUGUAAGGGAAGAACAAGUGCCGCAGGCAAUGGCGGCACCUUGACGGUACCUUGCGAGAAAGCCACGGCUAACUACGUGCCAGCCGCCGCAGUAAUAC
rnacentral:rRNA from 1 species